ACCCCUUCGUUUUGCUUCCCCUCUUCGAUUCGGUCCUUUCCUUCCCAACCAAACCCCCUCAAACCUGCGUUCAGGGAAAAACAUCUUUCUUUCUCUCAGUCAGUCUAUUCUCCUCCCACUUGCAAUCCAAACGAAAGCAAGAAGCCGCCGCCGCUUACAGCUAGAGGAGAGGAGAGAGAGGGGAGGGAAGGGAGGGCCCGAGAGGGAGGCUCCAGGGGCCCUGCAUUGCGUCGGGCUCGGGACUGUCGAUUGGGCCGCCGGGAUGGAUCACGGCGGCGAGGACCGCGUCGUGGCGGCGAGCCUCGCGGCGGCGCGGCGCACGCUGCGCGCCGGCUUGGACAAGUCGCGCGCGCUGGGCCACGCGCUAGCCCGCGCGGGGCCCCGCCUGAAGGAGAUCCAAGCGGCGCUGCCGGUGCUGGAGGCCGCAGUGCGCCCGAUCCGCGCGCCGCGGGCCGAGCUCGCCGCCGCCGGGCCCCACAUCGACCGCGCCGUGGGCCCCGCCGCCGCCGUGCUCAAGGUGUUCGAUGCCGUGCACGGUCUCGAGCCGCCGCUCCUGGCGCCCGGCGCCGCGGGCUCUGGCGCGGCUGGGGACUUGCCGGGGUACCUCGCCGUCCUGGCGCAGCUCGAGGAGGCGCACAGGUUCCUCGCCGACAACUGCGGGCUCGCCGCGCAGUGGCUCGCCGACAUUGUCGAGUACCUCGGCGACCGUUUCCUCGUCGACCCGCGCUUCCUCGCCGACAUCGAGGUCACGCUCGACGAGCUCAAGGCACCCCCUACCGGCGACCUCGACGGAGGGCUCCUGGCCGCCGCCCUCGGUAUCCUCGAGGCCGAGUUCCGCCGCCUCCUCGCCGACCAUUCCGCGCCGCUCGCGAUGCCGCAGCCCGGCGCCGCCGCUGGCUCAACCGCGCCAUCCCGCGUGCCUGCCGCUGCCGUCCACAAACUCACCCUCAUUCUCGAUCGCCUCGUGGCCAACGGCAGGCAAGACCGCUGCGUGGCCGUUUAUAUCGACGCGCGCGGGGGUGUGGUCAGUGCCAGUCUUCGCGCUCUUGGCCUAGACUACCUGCGUGAGCCGUCUCAGGAUGCACAGGCAUUGGGACCUGCUCUUGAGCUGUGGGGGCGGCAUCUAGAGUUUGUGGUCCGCCGUCUCCUCGAGUCGGAGCGGCAGCUCUGUGCCAAGGUGUUUGGCCUGCAUAAGGAUGUCGCGUCCGCAUGCUUUGCAGAGGUGGCGGCACAAGCUGGGGUUCUUGAAUUCUUGAGGUUUGGCCGUGCAGUUGCUGAUGCCAAGAAGGAUCCCAUCAAGCUUCAGCGUCUGCUCGAGGUGUUUGAUUCUUUGAAUAAGCUGAGACUGGAUUUCAAUAGGUUGUUCGGUGGCAAAGCAUGUGCGGAGAUUCAGAGCCAGACAAGGGACCUUGUCAAGUUGUUGAUAGACGGUGCUGUCGAGAUCUUUGAGGAGUUGAUCGUGCAGGUGGAGCUACAGCGGCACAUGCCUCCCCCAGUCGAUGGGGGCGUGCCACGCUUAGUUACCUUUGUUGUCGAGUACUGCAACCGUCUGCUUGGUGAGCAAUACAGGCCCAUGCUUGGGCAGGUGCUAACUAUCCAUCGCAGCUGGCGCAAAGAGGUGUUCAAUGACAGGAUGCUUGUUGAUGUGGUGCUAAACAUUGUCAAGGCCCUUGAAGCUAAUUUUGAUGUUUGGUCCAAGGCAUAUGACAAUGCUACGCUCUCGUAUCUCUUCAUGAUGAAUACUCAUUGGCAUUUCUUUAGGCAUUUGAAGGCUACUAAGUUAGGAGAGAUCUUGGGUGAUGUGUGGCUGCGAGAGCAUGAACAAUACAAGGACUACUAUUUGUCAAUGUUCAUCAGGGAGAGCUGGGGAGCACUUUCGCCACUACUGAACCGGGAGGGAUUAAUACUGUUCUCCAAGGGCCAGGCUACGGCAAGGGACCUGGUGAAGCAGCGCCUCAAAACAUUCAAUUCAAGCUUCGAUGAGAUGCAUUGCAGGCAAUCAUCAUGGGUUAUACCAGACAAGGAUUUGCGGGAGAGGACAUGUAAUCUUGUGGUGCAGACUAUUGUUCCUGCCUAUCGGAGCUACUUGCAGAACUAUGGGCCACUUGUUGAGCAAGAUGGAAACACCAGCAAGUAUGUAAGGUACACUGUUGAUGGUUUGGAGAAGAUGCUCAGUGCCCUUUACAUGCCCCGGCCCAGGAGGGCUGGGAGCUUCCAGAUCAAACACUCGAGUGGAUGGAUGGAAGGAACUAAGGAACUUGAAAUCAUGGACACUGCCACACUGCACUAUUGGGCAUUCGCAUUCAGGGCAAUAGAAGCAUCUGAAAUCCGUUUGGAGAAUUUUGUUUGUUUAUUCCCCAUUGCACUAAGAUACCUUGGAGCAAUCUGACAGUCUUAAUGGGCCACAGAAAGUUUGGGCAGGAAACAAACACUUAGUGGCAGAUGAAAUAGCUUUUGAUCUGGACUCGCAUCCAAUAGCCGAGACACCCUUCUUCCAUGCCUGCAUGGGGUCAUUUAGACGCCGGGGAACUGCAGCUGCCUACCAAACUCUUGAUCGAGCUCAGCACCAGCCACCAGAUUGAAAUUGUUGGCAGGACAUGGACGUUGGAUGAGCAUGGGGAUUUUCAGAAGGAAUGGUUCGUGCAGAACAUGCCAAUUGUCAUAGAGCCAUGGAGGUCCUCUAGCGGAUCAAUCAAGGCCACAAACAUGCAAACACAAGAGUCAAAACAAGCACAGGUACCUUUCACAAAAGAGGGGGGGGGGGGGGGGGGGGGGGGGGGGAGAGAGAGAGAGAGACGUAGGCCAGGAAAGGCAAAAAAAAGUUUUGUUCUGAGGUAGGUUGCUACAGCGAUACUGUUAUAAGGCUAUCCGCAUCUAUACUACUCCAAAUUCAUAUUUUUUUUAAAAAAAAAUAUCCUAUGCUGGU